rnacentral:rRNA from 1 species
GAUGAACGCUGGCGGCGUGCCUAAUACAUGCAAGUCGAGCGAACGGACGAGAAGCUUGCUUUUCUGAUGUUAGCGGCGGACGGGUGAGUAACACGUGGAUAACCUACCUAUAACACUGGGAUAACUUCGGGAAACCGGAGCUAAUACCGGAUAAUAUUUUGAACCGCAUGGUUCAAAAGUGAAAGACGGUCUUGCUGUCACUUAUAGAUGGAUCCGCGCUGCAUUAGCUAGUUGGUAAGGUAACGGCUUACCAAGGCAACGAUGCAUAGCCGACCUGAGAGGGUGAUCGGCCACACUGGAACUGAGACACGGUCCAGACUCCUACGGGAGGCAGCAGUAGGGAAUCUUCCGCAAUGGGCGAAAGCCUGACGGAGCAACGCCGCGUGAGUGAUGAAGGUCUUCGGAUCGUAAAACUCUGUUAUUAGGGAAGAACAUAUGUGUAAGUAACUGUGCACAUCUUGACGGUACCUAAUCAGAAAGCCACGGCUAACUACGUG